UACGGAGGGCGCUAGCGUUGUUCGGAAUUACUGGGCGUAAAGCGCGCGUAGGCGGACCUGCAAGUCGGGGGUGAAAGCCCGAGGCUCAACCCUGGAAUUGCCUUCGAUACUGAGAGUCUUGAGUUCGGAAGAGGUUGGUGGAACUGCGAGUGUAGAGGUGAAAUUCGUAGAUAUUCGCAAGAACACCAGUGGCGAAGGCGGCCAACUGGUCCGAUACUGACGCUGAGGCGCGAAAGCGUGGGGAGCAAACAGG
rnacentral:rRNA from 1 species